rnacentral:rRNA from 1 species
GACGAACGCUGGCGGCGUGCCUAAUACAUGCAAGUAGAACGCUGAAGAGAGGAGCUUGCUCUUCUUGGAUGAGUUGCGAACGGGUGAGUAACGCGUAGGUAACCUGCCUUGUAGCGGGGGAUAACUAUUGGAAACGAUAGCUAAUACCGCAUAACAAUGGAUGACACAUGUCAUUUAUUUGAAAGGGGCAAUUGCUCCACUACAAGAUGGACCUGCGUUGUAUUAGCUAGUAGGUGAGGUAAUGGCUCACCUAGGCGACGAUACAUAGCCGACCUGAGAGGGUGAUCGGCCACACUGGGACUGAGACACGGCCCAGACUCCUACGGGAGGCAGCAGUAGGGAAUCUUCGGCAAUGGGGGCAACCCUGACCGAGCAACGCCGCGUGAGUGAAGAGGUUUUCGGAUCGUAAAGCUCUGUUUUGUAGUCAGAACGGGUGUGAGAGUGGAAAGUUCACACUGUGACCGUAGCUUACCAGAAAGGACGGCUAACUACGUGCCAGCAGCCGCGGUAAUACGUANGUCCCGAAGCGUUGUCCGGAUUAAUUGGGCGUAAAGCAAGCCCAAGCGGUUUGAUAGUCUGAAGUUAAGGCUGUGGCUCAACCAUAGUUCGCUUUGGAAACUGUCAAACUUGAGUGCAGAAGGGGAGAGUGGAAUUCCAUGUGUAGCGGUGGAAUGCGUAGAUAUAUGGAGGAACACCGGUGGCGAAAGCGGCUCUCUGGUCUGUAACUGACGCUGAGGCUCGAAAGCGUGGGGAGCGAACAGGAUUAGAUACCCUGGUAGUCCACGCCGUAAACGAUGAGUGCUAGGUGUUGGAUCCUUUCCGGGAUUCAGUGCCGCAGCUAACGCAUUAAGCACUCCGCCUGGGGAGUACGACCGCAAGGUUGAAACUCAAAGGAAUUGACGGGGGCCCGCACAAGCGGUGGAGCAUGUGGUUUAAUUCGAAGCAACGCGAAGAACCUUACCAGGUCUUGACAUCCCGAUGCUAUUUCUAGAGAUAGAAAGUUACUUCGGCACAUCGGUGACAGGUGGUGCAUGGUUGUCGUCAGCUCGUGUCGUGAGAUGUUGGGUUAAGUCCCGCAACGAGCGCAACCCCUAUUGUUAGUUGCCAUCAUUCAGUUGGGCACUCUAGCGAGACUGCCGGUAAUAAACCGGAGGAAGGUGGGGAUGACGUCAAAUCAUCAUGCCCCUUAUGACCUGGGCUACACACGUGCUACAAUGGUUGGUACAACGAGUUGCGAGUCGGUGACGGCGAGCUAAUCUCUUAAAGCCAAUCUCAGUUCGGAUUGUAGGCUGCAACUCGCCUACAUGAAGUCGGAAUCGCUAGUAAUCGCGGAUCAGCACGCCGCGGUGAAUACGUUCCCGGGCCU